rnacentral:rRNA from 1 species
GACGAACGCUGGCGGCGUGCUUAACACAUGCAAGUCGAACGGGUCUGCCCUGUUUUUUGCGGGGUGGGUCAGUGGCGAACGGGUGAGUAACACGUGAGUAACCUGCCCCUCACUUCUGGAUAACCGCUUGAAAGGGUGGCUAAUACGGGGUGUUCUGGCUGUGCCGCAUGGUGAGGCUGGGAAAGAUUCACUUUUGUGGUGUUUUGGUGGGGGAUGGGCUCGCGGCGUAUCAGCUUGUUGGUGGGGUGAUGGCCUGCCAAGGCUUUGACGGGUAGCCGGCCUGAGAGGGUGGGCGGUCACACUGGGACUGAGAGACGGCCCAGACUCCUGGGGGAGGCAGCAGUGGGGGGUAUUGCACAAGGGGCGGAAGCCUGAUGCAGCGACGUCGCGUGAGGGAUGGAGGCCUUCGGGUUGUGAACCUCUUUCGCCGGUGAAGAAGGUCCUGCUCUUUGUGGUGGGGUUGACGGUAGCCGGGUUAUGAAGCGCCGGCUAACUACGUG